rnacentral:lncRNA from 1 species
CUUCAUUGAGCACAUCUUUACUGAGGACCUACGUGCCAGCUAUGGACCACGCCCUGGGUUUAGUAUGAUGGCAGCACAGAUGGAAAAAUCCCAGAAAACCUCGGAGCCAGCUGGCUUCAGCAGCAGCAAACAGCUAUCAACAGCCUGCCCCCAACUCACUCUUCCUUUUUUCAAAAUGAACACAACCUAAAAGGAUCUAACUGCUCUUCAUCUUCACAAGUAACUUUAUAUGCAUGAUGUCAGUUAACCUCACAACAACCGUCAUGUCACAGAUGAGGAAACUGAUGUCAGUGAGAUUAAUCAACUUCCCCAGGAUCACACAGCCAA